rnacentral:rRNA from 1 species
CGACUCUCGGCAACGGAUAUCUCGGCUCUCGCAU